rnacentral:rRNA from 1 species
ACAAAAACAUGUCUAUAUGAUUGUUAUAUAAAGUCUAGCCUGCCCACUGAUUUGUUUUAAAGGGCCGCGGUAUAUUGACCGUGCGAAGGUAGCAUAAUCAUUAGUCUUUUAAUUGGAGGCUUGUAUGAAUGGUUGGACAAAAAGUAAGCUGUCUCGGUUAUAAUAAUUGAACUUAACUUUUAAGUGAAAAGGCUUAAAUGUUUCAGGGGGACGAUAAGACCCUAUAAAGCUUGACAAUAAUUUCGUUAUAUUAUAAAUUGUUAGUAUAACUUGAUUUUAACGGGAGUUUGUUUCGUUGGGGCGACGGGAAUAUAAUAAAUAACUGUUCUUUUAAAUAUAAUUACAAAAAUACUUGGUAAAUAAUUGAUCCUCUAUUAGAGAUUAAAAGAUUAAGUUACUUUAGGGAUAACAGCGUAAUCUUCUUUGAGAGUCCACAUCGACAAGAAGGUUUGCGACCUCGAUGUUGAAUUAAGGUAUCCUUAUAAUGCAGCA